rnacentral:rRNA from 1 species
UGGGGAAUAUUGCACAAUGGGCGCAAGCCUGAUGCAGCAACGCCGCGUGAGUGAUGAAGGCCUUCGGGUCGUAAAACUCUGUCCUAAGGGAAGAUAAUGACGGUACCUUAGGAGGAAGCCCCGGCUAACUACGUGCCAGCAGCCGCGGUAAUACGUAGGGGGCAAGCGUUAUCCGGAAUUACUGGGCGUAAAGGGUGCGUAGGUGGCCUGACAAGUCAGGGGUCAAAGGCAACGGCUCAACCGUUGUAAGCCCUUGAAACUGUCGGGCUUGAGUUCAGGAGAGGAAAGCGGAAUUCCUAGUGUAGCGGUGAAAUGCGUAGAUAUUAGGAGGAACACCAGUGGCGAAGGCGGCUUUCUGGACUGAUACUGACACUGAGGCACGAAAGCGUGGGGAGCAAACA